AUUGAACGCUGGCGGCAGGCCUAACACAUGCAAGUCGAACGGUAACAGGAAGAAGCUUGCUUCUUUGCUGACGAGUGGCGGACGGGUGAGUAAUGUCUGGGAAACUGCCUGAUGGAGGGGGAUAACUACUGGAAACGGUAGCUAAUACCGCAUAACGUCGCAAGACCAAAAAGGGGGACCUUCGGGCCUCCUGCCAUCGGAUGUGCCCAGAUGGGAUUAGCUAGUAGGUGGGGUAACGGCUCACCUAGGCGACGAUCCCUAGCUGGUCUGAGAGGAUGACCAGCCACACUGGAACUGAGACACGGUCCAGACUCCUACGGGAGGCAGCAGUGGGGAAUAUUGCACAAUGGGCGCAAGCCUGAUGCAGCCAUGCCGCGUGUAUGAAGAAGGCCUUCGGGUUGUAAAGUACUUUCAGCGGGGAGGAAGGGAGUAAAGUUAAUACCUUUGCUCAUGGACGUUACCCGCAGAAGAAGCACCGGCUAACUCCGG
rnacentral:rRNA from 1 species